AUUGAACGCUGGCGGCAGGCCUAACACAUGCAAGUCGAGCGAGCGGCGGACGGGUGAGUAAUGUAUGGGGUUCUGCCCGAUAGAGGGGGAUAACUCCUGGAAACGGUGGCUAAUACCGGAUACUCACGGAUGAACCCAUCUGGGAUUGGCUAGGAGGUGGGGUAAAGGCUAACCUAGCGACGAUCGCUAGCUGGUCUGAGAGUAUGAUCAGCCACACUGGCACUGAGACACGGCCCAGACUCCUACGGGAUGCAGCAGUGGGGAAUAUUGCGCAAUGGGGGCAACCCGGACGCAGCCAUGCCGCGUGAAUGAAGAAGGCCUUCGGGUUGGAAAGUGAUUUCGGUAGCGAGGCGUUAACUUCAGAAGAAGCACCGGCUAACUCCGUGCCAGCAGCCGCGGUAAUAC
rnacentral:rRNA from 1 species